rnacentral:rRNA from 1 species
GACGAACGCUGGCGGCGUGCUUAACACAUGCAAGUCGAGCGGUAAGGCUCCUUCGGGAGUACACGAGCGGCGAACGGGUGAGUAACACGUGAGCAAUCUGCCCUUCACACCGGGAUAACUCCGGGAAACCGAAGCUAAUACCGAAUACGACCACUUCAGGCAUCUGAUGGUGGUGGAAAGUUCCGGCGGUGAAGGAUGAGCUCGCGGCCUAUCAGCUUGUUGGUGGGGUAACGGCCCACCAAGGCAACGACGGGUAGCCGGCCUGAGAGGGUGACCGGCCACACUGGGACUGAGACACGGCCCAGACUCCUACGGGAGGCAGCAGUGGGGAAUAUUGCACAAUGGGCGCAAGCCUGAUGCAGCGACGCCGCGUGGGGGAUGAAGGCCUUCGGGUUGUAAACUCCUUUCGCCAUUGACGAAGCCCUUUGGGGUGACGGUAGGUGGAGAAGAAGCACCGGCUAACUACGUGCCAGCCGCCGCAGUAACAC